ensembl:lncRNA
CACACACGCACACACACCUUGGCUGAUUGAGUAUUCUGAAGUGAGGUUUUUUUUGUGUAAAUUUUAUUUCUGGUCAAACUCUUGUUUUAAAUCAGAAAUUCAGUGUACAAUAAUACAAGAGAUUAAAUUGGGCUGUGUAUCAGAAAUAGAGAAGAUAUAGGACCCAGUAAGGGAAAAAGGAAAAUAUUGAACCAGUUUAUUGUGUACAUAUUUUUUUUUAUACAUAUAUAAUAACAAUAUUACCCUAUGUUUGUUAAAUUAAACAGAAUAUGUAUUGUUAAUACAGGACCUUUUAUAUAAAUACACAUUAAAUUAAAAGCACAUAAACACACUGUCUUGGACGUUCAGUCUAACCCCACGGUGUCGAGACCCGUAGUGUGUCUCAGCACCAGUACGAAACAUCUGGCUUUCUAAUUCACUGUUCAAUUUCAUUGCUGCCGGGAAGGACAGAGGCAGUCUCCACUGACCCAAAGCCUCCCGCCCGCGGACCGACGUAUUAAAGAGAACAUUAGUUAAAUCUGAUUCCCAAGGCACGUUUACAGAUGCAAGUCAACCCAAACGUUAACACACUUUUUCAAAAUGCUUUAAGGGUUUAUACAAAGUCUUCAAACCAUCUCCUAUUCCUCUCUUAUAGAACUCGACCUGAGGAAAUGAGGUAUGUCUACAUUACUUAAGUAGGUUUUAAGACAGUAAGCAUCAAUAUAUAGUCCGAACACAAACUAUGCACAUCUGUAAAAUACAAUACACAAUUGUCAUGUCAACAGACUCCUAAUUUCUGCCGUGUCCCAGUUCAGGCCUUUAAAAGAAUAAUCCAGGAUCCGCAAGCACUUUUCAAACUGACGUCGAACAUAUCCUUACUGUUUGUGUGAUUACUGCAAACAAGAUCUGUGACACGUUACCCUGCAAUCAGAAAGAAUUGAAAACUCGUGCACAAAACUGACAUAUAUUCAAAGUGUAAGGGCAGACGAGAACCUCAAACUUUUACGUGAAACGUAUAAGAAGUGAAUCACAUGGUGCACGCUGUUCUAGGACAAUUUUUUUUUUUUUUUUUUUUACACUAUUACCACUCCAAAGUUGAUUAUUUCCCUACAACAGCAGACACCAAAGUGUUUUAUUCCUCUCGCACCACCGUGAUUAGCCAACGAUUACAUGUUUUAACUGACUGAAGAACAUUUUAUCUCCUUUUAUAUUAUUGUCGAACGUCUGCAAGAUAAGGUUAUUUCCUAGUUCCCUCACCUCACCCUUGCCUGCCC